rnacentral:rRNA from 1 species
UACGUAGGGGGCAAGCGUUGUCCGGAAUCAUUGGGCGUAAAGGGCGUGCAGGCGGUUUGUUAAGUGCAGGGUGAAAGCUCCCGGCUCAACUGGGAGAGGUCCUUGCAUACUGGCAAACUCGAGGGAGGCAGAGGAAAGUGGAAUUCCCGGUGUAGUGGUGAUAUGCGUAGAUAUCGGGAGGAACACCUGUGGCGAAGGCGGCUUUCUGGGCCUUACCUGACGCUGAGACGCGAAAGCGUGGGGAGCGAACCGG